CUCCUCUUCAUCUUCUUCCUUUUUUUUCUGAAACUUAAUUUUGUUCAUCAGUUGGAAAACCAACAGUAAACUUGAGGAGUAAUUGGAUCGAUUUCUUAAUCAAUUUCAACUUUAAGUUAAUUCCCUUUUCAAAAAUCAAUUUCUUGAGCCACUGUGAUCUUGUAUAUUUUACUCGUAAUUUCAAUGUAUUUUCAAUUUCAAGUGAUGUAAUUUUAUCCAAAUUGAAUGAAUUGGAUACCCAAAUUGUUCAAGAAUCUAAAAAGGUGGAAGAUAUGGAGUUGAUUUUGGAGUUGUUCAAGAAUGAGUUCGAUACCCAAAUUGUUCAAGAACCUGUGUGAUUUUGGAGUUGAUUUUUCGUUAAAAAACUUAAUUUUGUUCGUCAUUGGAAAACCAAUGUGUUUUCAAUUUCAAGUGAUGCAAUUUUAUCCAAAUUGAAUGAAUUGGACCUAAAUUGUUCAAGAAUUUGAAAAGGUGGAAGAUAUGGAGUUGAUUUUGGAGUUGUUCAAGAAUAAAUUGGAUACCCAAACUGUUCAAGAACCUGUGUGAUUUUAGAGUUGAUUUUUCGGCGAUCUUGCCGAAAAAUGUUGACUGUGUUGCUGCUCUCGUGCAUGUGUGUGAACUAUGUGUGCGUGUGAGUGAAUGUGUGUGAGAGAAUUGUGAAACGCCGGGAGAGGAGUGGUGUGAAGAU
rnacentral:lncRNA from 1 species